UUUUUUUUUUGAGAAAAGUCAGCAUAAAACACUUUUAUUGCAAUAAUAAAACUUGGUGCAGAGGGCAGGGGACAAAAGCAUACUUUCUCUCACCAAAUCACUACACAGGACAGCAGAUGGCAAGAAGGAACUGGAGGAGGGAAAAAAAGCCAGGAAGCCAAGAUUAGCAGAGAGAGCCAAGCAUCAAAACCCAGGAGAUGCUGAAGCUGUGAUGACCAGCAUCACUUUCUUAGAGAACACUCAAGGAUUUGUAGUGAUGACUGAGCGUCCACUGGGUGCCGCGCAAGGCCAACCC
rnacentral:lncRNA from 1 species